rnacentral:rRNA from 1 species
AGUGGCGGACGGGUGAGUAACGCGUGGGUAACCUGCCCUGUACAGGGGGACAACAGUUAGAAAUGACUGCUAAUACCGCAUAAGCGCACAGGACCGCAUGGUCCGGUGUGAAAAACUCCGGUGGUACAGGAUGGACCCGCGUCUGAUUAGGUAGUUGGCGGGGUAACGGCCCACCAAGCCGACGAUCAGUAGCCGACCUGAGAGGGUGAUCGGCCACAUUGGGACUGAGACACGGCCCAAACUCCUACGGAAGGCAGCAG